AUACGAAGGGGGCUAGCGUUGUUCGGAAUCACUGGGCGUAAAGCGCGCGUAGGUGGAUCAAUUAGUUGAGGGUGAAAUCCCGGGGCUCAACCUCGGAACUGCCUUCAAUACUGUUGAUCUUGAGACCGAGAGAGGUGAGUGGAAUUCCUAGUGUAGAGGUGAAAUUCGUAGAUAUUAGGAAGAACACCAGUGGCGAAGGCGGCUCACUGGCUCGGUGCUGACGCUGAGGUGCGAAAGCGUGGGGAGCAAACAGGAUUAGAAACCCUAGUAGUCC
rnacentral:rRNA from 1 species